GGACUCUGUCUGAGGAGAGCUGCUGGAGGAGCUGAGACACUGGAGGACGACUAGGAAUCGACCAACAAGGAUUCCUCAACGUGUUUCUGGAGCGGAGGCGAGCUGGUAGGGGAGCGGUGAAUCUGGAGGAUGACCAUCACUCUGCCAACAAGGAUCGCAAGUUUGUAAUAACCAAACACACUGGAAAUAAAGGGCUGAAAAAUAUGACAAACUACAUGUUUGUUACCAGACUUUAGGGCCAGACUCACGCUGUUUGUUCCAGACCAGGACUCUGGCUGAGGAGAGCUGAUGGAGGAGCCAAGACUCUGGAGGACGACAUCACUCCACCAACCAGGAUCGUCGCACACCUGAGCUGAACCUCACCUGAUCCUGUUGGUCGGGGGUAGACACACCUGAGCUAAGCCCGCCCUGAUCCUGGCAUCCUAAUGGUCCCGUCUCCUCAGUUCAUCUGAGCCUCGUCCUCCAGAAGACCUGCUGAGCUCAGCAGUCUGAGGCUGAUGGAUCAAUGACCUCCAGUGGGAGUGAUCUUCUUGACCCCACAUGUAACCGUGUG